UGUGUGUGUGUGUGUGUGUGUGUGUGUGUGUGUGUGUGUGUGUGCACUUGCAUUUAUUACUUGGUGGGGCCCAAUGGCAAGGAGCACACCAACAGUGAGGGGCCCAGCGACAGUGUGGGGCCCAAAAUGGUGGGCCCCACACCGAUUUCAAUUUAUUUCAGCUCAGGAGACUCCCCUGAUAUGCCUCCCGCUUUUUCUUCACAUGGCCCACAAGGUAACAAAAACUGGAAAGUGUGUAAAAGUGUGUAACUUUUUUUGUGCUCGUGAGAGCCCCGGGUGGCACUUCGUGGUACUGCAGCAGAUACACACACUUCCUGAAGUGUGUAUCAUCUCAGCCAAUGGAACAAGAUGUGGGCGGGGCCUCCCUGCAAUAUGACACUCACUACGUCAUCUCCGUCUGUCGACUCCAGGCCUGCCAUGCUGUGCAAAACAGAGCCAUAAUGUCAAAAAGGAAGAACAGGAUACAGCCUGUUGAUGAUGCAACAUUAUAUAUUCUGUCUUCGAGGGACAAGCCUGGAUUUAUAGAAAGAUUUAUUAAUAGUAACAAAGGAAGAGGAGUGUUUGUUACCCAGCCCAUUGAACCAGGAGCUUUCCUCUUGGAAUACAGAGGUGAACUCUUAUCAGUUGAAGAAUGCUGGUCCAGACACUACUCGGAGAAACAGAGUACAUUUCUGUUUGAAUUUGAAUGGGAAAAACGUCGCUGGGGUAUUGAUGCAUCAAAAGAAGACGGCUCUCUUGGAAGAUUAGUGAAUGACAAUCACAGAUCUCCAAAUUGCAUCAUGAAAAAAAAUCUUAGUAAACAACACACCACAUAUGUGUCUAUUUGCUGUGAAAAAAAUAGAAAUCGGAUCUGAAAUUGAGUACAACUACGGUGAUUGGCGUAAAAUGGUACUUUGUUUUUGCUAAUUUGUGUAAAAAUGUGUUGCAAAAGUAAAAAUUGGUGAACUAGUGCACGACAGCUACUGUUUUAUGUCUGUCUCCAUAAUGCAUUGUGACUUGUUGAUAAGCAUUCAGCUAAACUUUAAAAAAAUGUCAUAUUUCUGAAAAAGAGCAAAUUGUGUCUGUCAGCAUGUAGUGUUUUAUUGUUUGUAUCUGAAUUCCAGCAAACAAACAAGCAGACUUCUCCUGUGGCAGCAAAGAUCGAGAUGUCCCCCAUAGAUGGUGCUUUGCAUGAGAAUUCAAACCAGAAUGAUGCUUGUGCACAGGUAACAAACAAGAUGGCUUCUGCUGUGGCAGUAGAGCCUGAGAUGUCCCCCAUACAUGGUGCUUCACAUGAGGAUUCAGACCAAGAUGAUGCUCAUGCACAGGUAAUGUAGAUACUGUUGGUCUGCACACUAUGUAGUUCCAUUACCAAGAUAGGAGGAAUUCAAAUUGCUUGUCUGAUGCAGCCUUUCAUUCAGGGUGAUGAUAUAGACUUCAGUUUUAAGGAAAUGAGUUCCUCUGACUGACACCUUUUUAAUCUUGUCCUCAUGUAGCCAGUUAACAUCACACACUCAUACAUUUCUCUACUCCACUUCUUGAAGCCAGUGGGCAUCACACCCAAAUGUUCCCAGGACAGUUCAUGUGGGGCCCAGUUCACAUCACACACUCAUGCUUUUAUCGCCUUAACUUCUUGUGAGCCUCACACACAAAUGUUCCCAGUACACACCAUGUGGGGCCCAGUUCACAUCACACACUCACAUUGUUUCUAGUCUUGACCCUCAUGGGGCCCUCCGUAUGUAUCACAACUUAGGUGUUUUCACAUCCUUGCUGCAAUGCAUGACAUAAUUUAAACUCUGAUAAUUGCAGGUAUAUUUUUACACUACUUGAACUGCUGCAUGUUUGAAAAGGCUCAUUUGAAUUUGAUGCAUUCUAACCAUCUGUAACGCACUGUGACACUUGUUGGUACCUCUGGAGAAGAUGAUGCUCUACAUGUAGCUUUCAGUUUAUGCUGUUUCAAACAUGGUUUUCACAUAAACUCUAGUAAUGUGCAUAUUUCUAAAUAUAGAACAUGUUGGAUGUCAGUGCUUAAUGCUUUUUGUUUGUAUCUAAAUUGCAGGUAACAAACAAGAUGGCUUCUGCUGUGGCAGUAGAGCCUGAGAUGUCCCCCAUACAUGGUGCUUCACAUGAGGAUUCAGACCAAGAUGAUGCUUAUGCAC